GAUGAAGAACGUAGCGAAAUGCGAUAAGUAAUAUGAAUUGCAGAAUUCAGUGAAUCAUCGAAUCUUUGAACGCACAUUGCGCCCCCUGGUAUUCCGGGGGGCAUGCCUGUCCGAGCGUCAUUACAACCCUCAAGCUCAGCUUGGUGUUGGGCCCCGCCGCCCCGGCGGGCCCUAAAGUCAGUGGCGGUGCCGUCCGGCUCCGAGCGUAGUAAUUCUUCUCGCUCUGGAGGUCCGGUCGUGUGCUCGCCAGCAACCCCCAAUUUUUUUCAGGUUGACCUCGGAUCAGGUAGGGAUACCCUCUGAACUUAAGCAUAUCAAUAAGCGGAGGA
rnacentral:misc_RNA from 1 species